rnacentral:rRNA from 1 species
UGCAGUCGAACGAUGAACCAGGUGCUUGCACUUGGGGAUUAGUGGCGAACGGGUGAGUAACACGUGAGCAACCUGCCCCUCACUCUGGGAUAAGCGCUGGAAACGGCGUCUAAUACUGGAUACGAGUCGCAACCGCAUGGUUAGUGACUGGAAAGAUUUUUUGGUGGGGGAUGGGCUCGCGGCCUAUCAGCUUGUUGGUGAGGUAAUGGCUCACCAAGGCGUCGACGGGUAGCCGGCCUGAGAGGGUGACCGGCCACACUGGGACUGAGACACGGCCCAGACUCCUACGGGAGGCAGCAGUGGGGAAUAUUGCACAAUGGGCGGAAGCCUGAUGCAGCAACGCCGCGUGAGGGAUGACGGCCUUCGGGUUGUAAACCUCUUUUAGCAGGGAAGAAGCGUGAGUGACGGUACCUGCAGAAAAAGCGCCGGCUAACUACGUGCCAGCAGCCCGCGGUAAA